rnacentral:rRNA from 1 species
UACGGGAGGCAGCAGUGGGGAAUAUUGCACAAUGGGCGAAAGCCUGAUGCAGCUAUGCCGCGUGUAUGAAGAAGGCCUUAGGGUUGUAAAGUACUUUCAUCGGGGAGGAAAACAAAACUAAUAAUUUUAUUUCUUGACGUUACCCGAAAAAGAAGCACCGGCUAACUCCGUGCCAGCAGCCGCGGUAAUACGGAGGGUGCUAGCGUUAAUCAGAAUUACUGGGCGUAAAGAGCACGUAGGUGGUUUUUUUAAAGUCAGAUGUGAAAUCCCUGGGCUUAACCUGGAACUGCAUUUUGAAACUGAAAUACUAGAGUAUCGUAGAGGGAGGUAGAAUUCUAGGUGUAGCGGUGAAAUGCGUAGAUAUCUGGAGGAAUACCUGUGGCGAAAGCGGCCUCCUAAACGAAUACUGACACUGAGGUGCGAAAGCGUGGGGAGCAAACAGGGAUUAGAUACC